rnacentral:rRNA from 1 species
CCCUUAGAUGUUCUGGGCGGCCCGCGCACUACAAUGGCGUGUGCAGCGAGUGCCGAAGUAGAGUUUUCCGAGGUAUUCUUGCAAUGCUCGUUUUGAUGGGGAUAGACCCUUGCAACUGUUGGUUUUGAACGAGGGAUUCCUUGUAAGCAUGGUUUAUCAUCCGACGCUGAAUGCGUCCCUGCCCUUUGUACACACCGCCCGUCGCUCCUACCGAUGAGUCGUCCGGUGAAGUUCGUAGACCUCGUGAUCGCGGAUCACUGGGGGAAGCAAAAUGAACCUCGCGGUUUAGAGGAAGGAGAAGUCGUAACA